AAAAUUUGGCAAUGGAGGAAACUCCGACGCAGCGACGACGCGUGAUCGAUGAAGGUCUUUGGAUANUAAAGCCCUGUCCUUGGGGANGAAGGUUUUCGGACUGGACGGUACCAUUGUAGGAAGCCCCGGCUAACUACGUUCCUGCAUCCGCGGUAAUACGUAGGGUGCAACCGUUUUCCGGAAUGAUUGGACGUAAAGGGUGCGUUGGCGGCCUUUAACGUCAGAUGUAAACCCCAGCGGCUCAAGCGUUGAAUUGCAUUCGAACUUGGAGGGCUGAAGUAGCGGAAAGGGUAGUGGAAUUCCCAGUGUAGCGUUGAAAUGCGUAGUUAUUGGAAGAAACACCAGUGGCGAAGGCGACUACCUGGACGAUUACUGCCGCUAAUGCACGAAAGCUAGGGGGGCAAAC
rnacentral:rRNA from 1 species